rnacentral:rRNA from 1 species
UACAGAGGGUGCAAGCGUUGUUCGGAAUUAUUGGGCGUAAAGGGUGCGUAGGCGGUGCGGUAAGUCUGUAGUGAAAUCUCUGGGCUCAACUCAGAGUCUGCUAUAGAAACUGCCGUGCUCGAGUAUGGGAGAGGUGAGUGGAAUUCCCGGUGUAGCGGUGAACUGCGUAGAUAUCGGGAGGAACACCUGUGGCGAAAGCGGCUCACUGGACCAUAACUGACGCUGAUGCACGAAAGCUAGGGGGAGCAAACAGG